AAGUCACCCCCUUCCAGUAUCCAGUAGUGGGUAUUCAGUUACUUACUAUUGUGUGUUGGUCCUUUACUGUGAGAAAAUUAGAGUGUUCAAAGCAGGCGUUUGCUUGAAUAGAUUAGCAUGGAAUAAUAAUUGAAGGCUUUCGUGUUCGAUUUGAUUGGUUUGUUCAUGGAAGCAAGGUUAAAAGGAACAGUUGGGGGUAUUCAUAUUCACUAGUUAGAGGUGAAAUUCUCGGAUUUAUGGAAGAUGAACAAGUGCGAAAGCAUUUACCAAGGAUGUUUUCAUUAAUCAAGAACGAAAGCUAGGGGAUCGAAGAGGAUUAGAUACCCUCGUAGUCUUAGCUAUAAACGAUACCGACUAGGGGUUAGUAGAGGUCAAAGUGUCUUUAUUAGUACCUUAUGAGAAAUCAAAGUCUUUGGGUUCCGGGGGGGAGUAUGGUCGCAAGGCUGAAACUUAAAGGAAUUGACGGAAGGGCACCACCAGGAGUGGAGCCUGCGGCUUAAUUUGACUCAACACGGGGAAACUUUACCAGGUCCAGACAUAGAGAGAGGGGGUUUGGAAA
rnacentral:rRNA from 1 species